UGGGGAAUAUUGGACAAUGGGCGGAAGCCUGAUCCAGCAAUACCGCGUGUGUGAAGAAGGCCUGAGGGUUGUAAAGCACUUUCAAUGAGGAGGAACACCUAUCGGUUAAUACCCGUUAGCAUGACAUUACUCAUAGAAGAAGCACCGGCUAACUCCGUGCCAGCAGCCGCGGUAAUACGGAGGGUGCGAGCGUUAAUCGGAAUUACUGGGCGUAAAGCGUGCGUAGGCGGUUCGUUAAGUCAGAUGUGAAAGCCCCGGGCUUAACCUGGGAACUGCAUUUGAAACUGGCGGACUAGAGUUGAGUAGAGGUAAGUGGAAUUUCAGGUGUAGCGGUGAAAUGCGUAGAUAUCUGAAGGAACACCAGUGGCGAAGGCGACUUACUGGACUCAAACUGACGCUGAGGUACGAAAGCGUGGGUAGCAAACAGG
rnacentral:rRNA from 1 species